UUGGGUAACACUAACUGGAGGACCGAACCGACUAAUGUUGAAAAAUUAGCGGAUGACUUGUGGCUGGGGGUGAAAGGCCAAUCAAACCGGGAGAUAGCUGGUUCUCCCCGAAAGCUAUUUAGGUAGCGCCUCGUGAAUUCAUCUCCGGGGGUAGAGCACUGUUUCGGCAAGGGGGUCAUCCCGACUUACCAACCCGAUGCAAACUGCGAAUACCGGAGAAUGUUAUCACGGGAGACACACGGCGGGUGCUAACGUCCGUCGUGAAGAGGGAAACAACCCAGACCGCCAGCUAAGGUCCCAAAGUCAUGGUUAAGUGGGAAACGAUGUGGGAAGGCCCAGACAGCCAGGAUGUUGGCUUAGAAGCAGCCAUCAUUUAAAGAAAGCGUAAUAGCUCACUGGUCGAGUCGGCCUGCGCGGAAGAUGUAACGGGGCUAAACCAUGCACCGAAGCUGCGGCAGCGACGCUGAUGCGUUGUUGGGUAGGGGAGCGUUCUGUAAGCCUGUGAAGGUGUGCUGUGAGGCAUGCUGGAGGUAUCAGAAGUGCGAAUGCUGACAUAAGUAACGAUAAAGCGGGUGAAAAGCCCGCUCGCCGGAAGACCAAGGGUUCCUGUCCAACGUUAAUCGGGGCAGGGUGAGUCGACCCCUAAGGCGAGGCCGAAAGGCGUAGUCGAUGGGAAACAGGUUAAUAUUCCUGUACUUGGUGUUACUGCGAAGGGGGGACGGAGAAGGCUAUGUUGGCCGGGCGACGGUUGUCCCGGUUUAAGCGUGUAGGCUGGUUUUCCAGGCAAAUCCGGAAAAUCAAGGCUGAGGCGUGAUGACGAGGCACUACGGUGCUGAAGCAACAAAUGCCCUGCUUCCAGGAAAAGCCUCUAAGCAUCAGGUAACAUCAAAUCGUACCCCAAACCGACACAGGUGGUCAGGUAGAGAAUACCAAGGCGCUUGAGAGAACUCGGGUGAAGGAACUAGGCAAAAUGGUGCCGUAACUUCGGGAGAAGGCACGCUGAUAUGUAGGUGAAGCGACUUGCUCGUGGAGCUGAAAUCAGUCGAAGAUACCAGCUGGCUGCAACUGUUUAUUAAAAACACAGCACUGUGCAAACACGAAAGUGGACGUAUACGGUGUGACGCCUGCCCGGUGCCGGAAGGUUAAUUGAUGGGGUCAGCGCAAGCGAAGCUCUUGAUCGAAGCCCCGGUAAACGGCGGCCGUAACUAUAACGGUCCUAAGGUAGCGAAAUUCCUUGUCGGGUAAGUUCCGACCUGCACGAAUGGCGUAAUGAUGGCCAGGCUGUCUCCACCCGAGACUCAGUGAAAUUGAACUCGCUGUGAAGAUGCAGUGUACCCGCGGCAAGACGGAAAGACCCCGUGAACCUUUACUAUAGCUUGACACUGAACAUUGAGCCUUGAUGUGUAGGAUAGGUGGGAGGCUUUGAAGUGUGGACGCCAGUCUGCAUGGAGCCGGCCUUGAAAUACCACCCUUUAAUGUUUGAUGUUCUAACGUUGACCCGUGAUCCGGGUUGCGGACAGUGUCUGGUGGGUAGUUUGACUGGGGCGGUCUCCUCCUAAAGAGUAACGGAGGAGCACGAAGGUUGGCUAAUCCUGGUCGGACAUCAGGAGGUUAGUGCAAUGGCAUAAGCCAGCUUGACUGCGAGCGUGACGGCGCGAGCAGGUGCGAAAGCAGGUCAUAGUGAUCCGGUGGUUCUGAAUGGAAGGGCCAUCGCUCAACGGAUAAAAGGUACUCCGGGGAUAACAGGCUGAUACCGCCCAAGAGUUCAUAUCGACGGCGGUGUUUGGCACCUCGAUGUCGGCUCAUCACAUCCUGGGGCUGAAGUAGGUCCCAAGGGUAUGGCUGUUCGCCAUUUAAAGUGGUACGCGAGCUGGGUUUAGAACGUCGUGAGACAGUUCGGUCCCUAUCUGCCGUGGGCGCUG
rnacentral:rRNA from 1 species